AGGUGUCCUCCCAGCUCUGGUUGAGGUUGAGGGCCGAGAGAGGAACAGGGAACUGAGAAGUAGGGGCUUUCUCUGUGCCCUUGGAAAACUUCCUAAGCUUUCUGGGCCUUGACUUCCCCAUCUGUGCUACAGUGACGUAUUGUCCCUUUCUGGGAGUGGCUGGGGGGUUAGGGGCACAAUGCACGUAGAAGCCUGGCAUUCCUCUCCUUCCCCUCCCCAGCCCAGCUGGGCAGUGAGCUGAGCUUCUCAGGCUGUGAUCUGGCCAGAGGACUCUGACGUGGCAGUUGUGAUCCACGGAGGCCGCUGCUGACAGAAGGCACCUGCCUUUUGUCCAUCCUUCAUUCCUCCACCCUCUGGCCACGAUGCACCCAGUCCUCCAGGCAGCUCUGCUUCCAGCCAGGCCCAGUCCUCAGUGCUGACCUGCAGCAGGGACACGGAGGGAAGAAGCAGCGACCUGCCUGGGGGUCUGCAGGGAUCCCCAGGGCUUCUGGGGAGGAGGUGUGGGGAGCAACUGUGAAGACCGGCACUGUGAGCAUGGAUAAUCCAGGAGUGCUCACAGCCUCGUGUGUGCUGGGAAGGCCAGCAGGACGUGGAAACCCUGGGCUCUUCAGAAGAUGCCCCAGAGUUGAGCCCAGCACAGCCCUCCAAUUGUCCAUCCUCCUGGUGCUGAGACCAGGAUCUUUGUCACCCUUCACACCAGCUCAGCCUGGCACCAGCCUGCAGACUGUGCUCCCCGGGGGAGCCGGAAUCCCCUCCCUGUGCUCUUGGAACAAUGGGAAUUAGCCCGGUGUCCCCAGGGUCUCUUCACUCCACUUAUCUCCAUUUCACUCUUCCUGUCUCCAGCAACCCGAGGGGCAAGUCUACUAUUAUGCCUUUUUGCAGAGGAACAAACUGGCUCAGAAAGGCUGGCUUACUUACCCGAGGGUGCACAGCUCAUCAUGGAGGAGCUGGGAUUAGAAUCCUCAAUAUCCCCCCCACACACACACAUUACAAUCCCUCCACGUACAUGUGUGUCUUCCCAGGUCGACACUAUGCAGAAAUACAUCAUGUGAACCAUAUUUAUAUUUUUAAAUUUUUCAGCGGCCACCUUAAAAAGUAAUAAAA